rnacentral:misc_RNA from 1 species
GAAGUGCGACAAGUGUCAUGACUUGCAGAUUCCCGAGAGCUGACAAAUUUCUGAAUGCAAAUGGCGGCCGCUAAUCCCGGCCAUGUAUUGCAGAGUGUAGUUGUUCCUACCCAUCAUCCCACAACAAUUCCUUGCUGGGUUGUUGUCUCGGGGACCUGCGCUUGCGACGUCUGCGCGAGCGUGAAAAGGAGGAGCGUCGGGUCAACCGACCCGACGACUUCGGAAACCUCCCUGAUCCCAGGGAAUGACCUGGAGUUAGUCUCCCAGAACCACUGUUCGACAGCCACCUCUGCGAUGCAGGAGAACCCGCUGAACUUAA